rnacentral:rRNA from 1 species
UACGGGAGGCAGCAGUGAGGAAUAUUGGUCAAUGGGCGAGAGCCUGAACCAGCCAAGUAGCGUGCAGGAUGACGGCCCUAUGGGUUGUAAACUGCUUUUAUACAGGGAUAAAGUGCACUACGUGUAGUGUUUUGUAGGUACUGUAUGAAUAAGGACCGGCUAAUUCCGUGCCAGCAGCCGCGGUAAU